GAUGAACGCUAGCUACAGGCUUAACACAUGCAAGUCGAGGGGCAGCAUGAACUUAGCUUGCUAAGUUUGAUGGCGACCGGCGCACGGGUGAGUAACACGUAUCCAACCUGCCGAUGACUCGGGGAUAGCCUUUCGAAAGAAAGAUUAAUACCCGAUGGCAUAGUUCUUCCGCAUGGUAGAACUAUUAAAGAAUUUCGGUCAUCGAUGGGGAUGCGUUCCAUUAGGUUGUUGGCGGGGUAACGGCCCACCAAGCCUUCGAUGGAUAGGGGUUCUGAGAGGAAGGUCCCCCACAUUGGAACUGAGACACGGUCCAAACUCCUACGGGAGGCAGCAGUGAGGAAUAUUGGUCAAUGGACGAGAGUCUGAACCAGCCAAGUAGCGUGAAGGAUGACUGCCCUAUGGGUUGUAAACUUCUUUUAUACGGGAAUAAAGUGAGGCACGUGUGCCUUUUUGUAUGUACCGUAUGAAUAAGGAUCGGCUAACUCCGUGCCAGCAGCCGCGGUAAUACGGAGGAUCCGAGCGUUAUCCGGAUUUAUUGGGUUUAAAGGGAGCGUAGGCGGACGCUUAAGUCAGUUGUGAAAGUUUGCGGCUCAACCGUAAAAUUGCAGUUGAUACUGGGUGUCUUGAGUAUAGUAGAGGCAGGCGGAAUUCGUGGUGUAGCGGUGAAAUGCUUAGAUAUCACGAAGAACUCCGAUUGCGAAGGCAGCUUGCUGGACUGUAACUGACGCUGAUGCUCGAAAGUGUGGGUAUCAACCCAGG
rnacentral:rRNA from 1 species